rnacentral:misc_RNA from 1 species
UCUCCGUAGGUGAACCUGCGGAGGGAUCAUUACAGGGUUCAUGCCCUACCGGGUAGAUCUCCCACCCUAUGUUAUUAUUACUUUGUUGCUUUGGCGGGCCGUUAGGCUCCGGCCCGACUACCGGCCCCGGCUGGUAAGCGCCCGCCAGAGGACCCAAAACCCUGAAUAUUAGUGUCGUCUGAGUACUAUAUAAUAGUUGAAACUUUCAACAACGGAUCUCUUGGUUCUG